rnacentral:snRNA from 1 species
AUACUUACCUGGCAGGGUAGACACCAUAAUCAAAAAGCCGCGUCACCCAGGGUGAGGCUCGUCCAUUGCACUCCGGCCGUGCUGAGCCCUGCAAAUUUUUUUUUAAGGGGAAGUUGUGGCCUAACAGUUAGAGUGUUGGACUUGCAAUCCAAG